rnacentral:lncRNA from 1 species
AGUUGGCAGGCGGAGGGGGGCGGUGACAAGGGACAAAGUGCCUGGAUGUCUUUGCUUGUGGGGUGGCAGCGCUGUUCCCACCAAUAGCGACUGCUCGGGGCUGGCUUUGUAGUUAUUUUUGCAAGUUCUGCCCAGUCCCGGUCAUAUUUCCCUGAAAAGCAAAAGAGGCCGCUGCAAUUUAUUCCAAUGGGCGGUUUUUAAGAAGCUGGCAAUUUGAACCGGCUGGGUGUUAUUUAGUGCAAUAUGAAAUCAAAUGAUCCUAUUUCUCAAAUAACAGUGUCUGUGAGGAGAAGUGAAUCCUCUGAAAGGGUAAUUGUCUGCUGAUGGUGUUUCCCAUUAUCCCGAUCUUGGCCUAAAUGAUGUUCGGCAGCAGGGCGGAGACUCGGGGUGAAAUCAAUGCGCGCUGACUGCUGACUCGCGCUCCGGACGUGUAGCCAGGCCGCGCAGCCAGGCCGCGCCGCCGGCGUCCCCACGCAUCCAGGAACAAUGCCACCCGAACCAGACACAGGGGUCAGCUCGUGUCUAAGACAAGCAAGGACCGGGAGCAUAACAGAAGGAAGGAAUUUAAUAACGGACAGCGGUGGGACCCAGGAACCUCCGCCUGAGCCCUCUGGCAAGCCUGCACCAGGGAUGGAGCACUGCGCACAGGCAUAAUCCAGGAGACCUCAUGGAAGCACAAAUUCACUGGCUUUUGUGGAAAUCAUAGGCAUGCAAGAGCUGGGAGACAGCACCCAAUGUAGUACUAUCUGUAAUCCCAGCACUCAUGAAUCUGAAGCAGGAAGAUCACUACAAAUUCGAGC